CACGUAGGGGGCAAGCGUUGUUCGGAAUUACUGGGCGUAAAGAGUGUGUAGGCGGUGUCGUAAGUUUGGCGUGAAAUCUCCCGGCUUAACUGGGAGGGUGCGCCGAAGACUGCGAUGCUUGAGGAUCGGAGAGGAAAGUGGAAUUUCUGGUGUAGCGGCGAAAUGCGUAGAUAUCUGGAGGAACACCGGUGGCGAAGGCGGCAUCCUGGACCGAGAUUGACGCUGAGGAGCGAAAGCUAGGGGAGCAAACGGG
rnacentral:rRNA from 1 species